rnacentral:lncRNA from 1 species
GUGACUUACGGCAGCUCUCUAGCAGAGCGCCGUUGCUGGGGGAAUGCAGAAGCGGCCGCGGGCUAGCAAGCUCCCGGAGCCGGCGGCGCACCACCAUGACCCAGUCGGUGGUCGUACAGGUCGGCCAGUGCGGAAACCAGAUCGGCUGCUGCUUCUGGGACCUGGCACUAAGGGAGCACGCCGCGGUCAACCAGGUACCCGCCCGCCGCCGCGAGCCCCCUCGCCUGUCAGCUAGGUCUUCCAGCCCAUACGCAGGAAAUAAUCGACUUGAGCUUUCAUCUGACCCGUUUAAGAUGCAUGGGAUCUUCCCAGUAAAGAACGUACUGGUUUUUAAACAUGUUGCGUCAGACACACACUAAACUAAAAGAACACUGGCCAGCGACCUUAGUCUUAACGUUUUUCCUGAUUCUCAGGGUCUCCUCUUUAUUGGUGUUCGUGUGCAGAACAGUGAGAUUUGUAUAUGGGAAAGUACUUUGUAAAAUAGAUAACACGUGUGGUUAUUGUAUUCCUUAAUUUAACCAGUCAGCUUUUAAAAAGAUUACGAAGAAUCCAGAGAACGCUCAUUUGAUGGACCUGUCCUACAGUCCUAUGGGUGAAAUCCUUUCUUUAGCAC